rnacentral:rRNA from 1 species
GAUGAACGCUGGCGGCGUGCCUAAUACAUGCAAGUCGAGCGAACGGACGAGAAGCUUGCUUCUCUGAUGUUAGCGGCGGACGGGUGAGUAACACGUGGAUAACCUACCUAUAAGACUGGGAUAACUUCGGGAAACCGGAGCUAAUACCGGAUAAUAUUUUGAACCGCAUGGUUCAAAAGUGAAAGACGGUCUUGCUGUCACUUAUAGAUGGAUCCGCGCUGCAUUAGCUAGUUGGUAAGGUAACGGCUUACCAAGGCAACGAUGCAUAGCCGACCUGAGAGGGUGAUCGGCCACACUGGAACUGAGACACGGUCCAGACUCCUACGGGAGGCAGCAGUAGGGAAUCUUCCGCAAUGGGCGAAAGCCUGACGGAGCAACGCCGCGUGAGUGAUGAAGGUCUUCGGAUCGUAAAACUCUGUUAUUAGGGAAGAACAUAUGUGUAAGUAACUGUGCACAUCUUGACGGUACCUAAUCAGAAAGCCACGGCUAACUACGUGCCAGCAGCCGCGGUAAUACGUAGGUGGCAAGCGUUAUCCGGAAUUAUUGGGCGUAAAGCGCGCGUAGGCGGUUUUUUAAGUCUGAUGUGAAAGCCCACGGCUCAACCGUGGAGGGUCAUUGGAAACUGGAAAACUUGAGUGCAGAAGAGGAAAGUGGAAUUCCAUGUGUAGCGGUGAAAUGCGCAGAGAUAUGGAGGAACACCAGUGGCGAAGGCGACUUUCUGGUCUGUAACUGACGCUGAUGUGCGAAAGCGUGGGGAUCAAACAGGAUUAGAUACCCUGGUAGUCCACGCCGUAAACGAUGAGUGCUAAGUGUUAGGGGGUUUCCGCCCCUUAGUGCUGCAGCUAGCGCAUUAAGCACUCCGCCUGGGGAGUACGACCGCAAGGUUGAAACUCAAAGGAAUUGACGGGGACCCGCACAAGCGGUGGAGCAUGUGGUUUAAUUCGAAGCAACGCGAAGAACCUUACCAAAUCUUGACAUCCUUUGACAACUCUAGAGAUAGAGCCUUCCCCUUCGGGGGACAAAGUGACAGGUGGUGCAUGGUUGUCGUCAGCUCGUGUCGUGAGAUGUUGGGUUAAGUCCCGCAACGAGCGCAACCCUUAAGCUUAGUUGCCAUCAUUAAGUUGGGCACUCUAAGUUGACUGCCGGUGGCAAACCGGAGGAAGGUGGGGAUGACGUCAAAUCAUCAUGCCCCUUAUGAUUUGGGCUACACACGUGCUACAAUGGACAAUACAAAGGGCAGCGAAACCGCGAGGUCAAGCAAAUCCCAUAAAGUUGUUCUCAGUUCGGAUUGUAGUCUGCAACUCGACUACAUGAAGCUGGAAUCGCUAGUAAUCGUAGAUCAGCAUGCUACGGUGAAUACGUUCCCGGGUCU